AUUGAACGCUGGCGGCAUGCCUUACACAUGCAAGUCGAACGGCAGCGCGGGGGCAAUCCUGGCGGCGAGUGGCGAACGGGUGAGUAAUACAUCGGAACGUGCCCAAUCGUGGGGGAUAACGCAGCGAAAGCUGUGCUAAUACCGCAUACGAUCUACGGAUGAAAGCAGGGGAUCGCAAGACCUUGCGCUAAUGGAGCGGCCGAGGGCAGAUUAGGUAGUUGGUGGGGUAAAGGCUCACCAAGCCUUCGAUCUGUAGCUGGUCUGAGAGGACGACCAGCCACACUGGGACUGAGACACGGCCCAGACUCCUACGGGAGGCAGCAGUGGGGAAUUUUGGACAAUGGGCGAAAGCCUGAUCCAGCCAUGCCGCGUGCAGGAUGAAGGCCUUCGGGUUGUAAACUGCUUUUGUUCGGAACGAAACGGUCUUUUCUAAUAAAGAAGGCUAAUGACGUUACCGUAAGAAUAAGCACCGGCUAACUACGUG
rnacentral:rRNA from 1 species